rnacentral:tRNA from 1 species
UAAUGAGGUUAUGCAAGUCUUCUAAAUUUGUUUUGGGGUGUCCUACUCAUUUU